rnacentral:rRNA from 1 species
GUGAGGAAUAUUGCGCAAUGGAGGCAACUCUGACGCAGCCAUGCCGCGUGCAGGAAGAAGGCGCUACGCGUUGUAAACUGCUUUUAACCGGGAAGAAACCCCAGGACGUGUCCUGGGUUGACGGUACCGGAGGAAUAAGCACCGGCUAACUUCGUGCCAGCAGCCGCGGUAAUACGAAGGGUGCAAGCGUUAUCCGGAUUCAUUGGGUUUAAAGGGUGCGUAGGCGGAGCGUUAAGUCAGUGGUGAAAUCCUGCAGCUUAACUGUAGACUUGCCAUUGAUACUGGCGCGCUUGAGUGCGCUUGAAGUGGGCGGAAUGUGCCGUGUAGCGGUGAAAUGCAUAGAUAUAACACAGAACACCAAUUGCGAAGGCAGCUUACUGGGAUGCAACUGACGCUGAGGCACGAAAGCGUGGGGAUCAAACAGGAUUAGAAACCCCAGUAGUCC